rnacentral:rRNA from 1 species
UACAGAGGUCCCGAGCGUUGUUCGGAUUCACUGGGCGUAAAGGGUGCGUAGGUGGCUUGAAAAGUUUGAUGUGAAAGCUCAGGGCUUAACCCUGAAAUGGCAUUGAAUACUGUCGGGCUGGAGGUUUGGAGGGGGGACUGGAAUUCUUGGUGUAGCAGUGAAAUGCGUAGAGAUCAUGAGGAAGACCAGUGGCGAAGGCGGGUCUCUGGACAGUUCCUGACACUGAGACACGAAGGCUAGGGGAGCAAACGGG